rnacentral:rRNA from 1 species
UACGUAGGGGGCAAGCGUUGUCCGGAUUUAUUGGGCGUAAAGAGCGUGUAGGCGGCCAGGUAGGUCUGCUGUGAAAACUCGAGGCUCAACCUCGAGACGCCGGCGGAAACCAUCUGGCUAGAGUCCGGAAGAGGAGAGUGGAAUUCCUGGUGUAGCGGUGAAAUGCGCAGAUAUCAGGAAGAACACCCGUGGCGAAGGCGGCCCUCUGGGACGGUACUGACGCUGAGACGCGAAAGCGUGGGGAGCGAACAGG